rnacentral:rRNA from 1 species
UACGUAGGGGGCAAGCGUUAUCCGGAUUUACUGGGCGUAAAGGGUGUGCAGGCGGGCUGUUAAGUGGUGUAUGAAAUCGCCGGGCUCAACCGGGCGAGGUUAUGCCAGACUGGCAGUCUAGAGAGCGAGAGAGGGACGUGGAAUUCCGGGUGUAGUGGUGAAAUGCGUAGAGAUCCGGAGGAACCCCAGAGGCGAAGGCGGCGUCCUGGCUCGCAUCUGACGCUCAGACACGACAGCACGGGGAGCGAACGGG